CGGGACGGGUGAGUAAUGUCUGGGAAACUGCCCGAUGGAGGGGGAUAACUACUGGAAACGGUAGCUAAUACCGCAUAAUGUCUGCGGACCAAAGCGGGGGACCUUAGGGCCUCUUGCCAUCGGAUGUGCCCAGAUGGGAUUAGCUAGUAGGUGGGGUAACGGCUCACCUAGGCGACGAUCCCUAGCUGGUCUGAGAGGAUGACCAGCCACACUGGAACUGAGACACGGUCCAG
rnacentral:rRNA from 1 species